AGUUAAUGAACUUGAAAAAGUAUAUAUUUUGAAAAUAUAAAAAAGAGUAUAGGAUUUCUCUAUUAACUU
rnacentral:tRNA from 1 species